CUUCAACGAGCCCAGCCACAGCGGGCGGUCCGGGUCGCGGUCCCGGCCGUAGGUGGCCAGCAGUGCCUGAGCUUC
rnacentral:antisense_RNA from 1 species